AUACGAGGGCCCCAAGCGUUAUCCGGAUUUAUUAGGCGUAAAGGGUCCGUAGGCGGCCUUAUACAUCUCCUGUUAAAUCUAUCGGCUUAACCGGUAGGCCGCGGGAGAGAUGGUAAGGCUAGAGGCCGGAAGAGGCAAGCGGAAUUGCUGGUGUAGGGGUUAAAUCCGUUAAUAUCAGCAGGAACACCGAAUGCGAAGGCAGCUUGCUAGGACGGUUCUGACGCUGAGGGACGAAAGCGUGGGGAGCGAACGGGAUUAGAAACCCCAGUAGUCC
rnacentral:rRNA from 1 species